rnacentral:rRNA from 1 species
UACGAAGGGUGCAAGCGUUAAUCGGAAUUACUGGGCGUAAAGGGUGCGUAGGCGGUUCGUUAAGUCUGUUGUGAAAUCCCCGGGCUCAACCUGGGAAUUGCGUUGGAGACUGCAAGGCUGGAGUCUGGCAGAGGGGGGUAGAAUUCCACGUGUAGCAGUGAAAUGCGUAGAGAUGUGGAGGAACACCGAUGGCGAAGGCAGCCCCCUGGGUCAAGACUGACGCUCAUGCACGAAAGCGUGGGGAGCAAACAGG